AAAUUUUCUAGACUUCAUAAUGAAACUCUUUAAUCACCAGAAUUCUCAAAAAGGAACCAACAUGUCCCGAAGUGGACAGAGAAGGACCUUCGCCUUGCUCUGGAUGGAGUUGCUGAUGGCAUGAAAAAAAUUUCAAACGACAACAAUGUAUGGGAUCCCUAAGGGGACUUUUUCAGACAAGCUGUCGGGCCGACGCAAAAUUGUCCCAUCCCAUAAAGCCGUACCUACACCUGAAGAAGAGGAAAAGGUUGUGGACUGGCUCUUCCGAACCCUGGCUUCGGCCGCACCAAGGAGGAGCUGCUUCUGACUGUGAAAGGGUUCCUCGACGUUCGAGGCAGGGAGACACCUUGGCCAGAAAACAAGCCUAGUGGCAAGUGGUUUCGGCUGUUCCGCCAGCGGCGCCCAACCAUCACAUUUAGGAAGCCACAAGCUUGGCAUUAUGCGGGCAAGCCUUACAGCUGAAGCUAUUGAGGGGUGGUUCGCUUGCUUCCCUGCGACACAAGAGUCAAAUCCAUAGAACCCACCAUCCUACUAGAACUGGGCAGGAUUUUUAACCCUGAAGAGUCGGGCUUCGCUGUGGACGCGACUUCUGGGAGAGUCCUCGGGGAUAUGAACAACAAGUAUACGUACGAAGUUGGCAGUGAGACCCACACGACGAUCACUGCCUUGGUGUGUGCAAACGCCGUGGGCCACUACACAAAGCGAAUGCUCAUCUACCCCGGCACACAGUUCGUGGUUUCCGCCCCCAAGACAUCUUCCAGGAGUCCUUCGUUGCCCGCUCGUCCAACGGAUGGAUAAAUCAAGAGGUCUUUGGUGACUGGUUGGAGAAUGUGUUCAUUCCAGAUACAGCAGCUUUGAAGAAGCCUGUGUUGCUGCUUCUGGAUGGCCAUGUGAGCCACCAUUCACUUUGGGCCUCUCAGCUCUGCCAGUAUAGUCUUGUAUUGUCUCCUCGCACACUGAAGCCACAUCGUGCAACCACUUUCGACAAUGAAAGCGGAAUGAAAGACAGCAGUGAGGGAACAAAAUUUGAAAGAAGUGAUAACAAAAAGAAACUUCGCUGAUGUCUUCAAGAAAGAAGGCAUACUUGAAGACAUCAGAAAAGUCCCUCUGCCCCACUGGCAUGGCCCACUGCCUUUAGGAAAAGUGGGAUCUUUACACUGGUCUUCCCCAGCGUGGACUUACGAAAGCUAGUGGGAGACAGUGGACAGUGAAGAAAGUAAAAGUCGCAGUACUUCCACUGGCAGAAAAGGGAGCCUCCGAUGAAGCUGACAGGGGUGGCCAGUCCGCACAAAGUGGAACUUUUUGACCACCUGCUCAAUGAAAUCAAAGAUGACAUGACGACAGAAGACACAAACUUCAGAAAAGCCGUUCCGCCUGAGUUGAAAUUAAUGCUUACCCUGAGGUAAGUGGAAUCAGUGUAGCACUACUGUGCAGUAGUGGAUGGGGUGUAAGACUACCAUAACCUACACCUUCUUUGGGUAGACUCUAAUCCUAUUUUAGCAUCCAAUAUGUGAGGCAGCGUGGCGAAAUCAGACGCUCGUCAAAAUAACGAAAUGGGACAAACAGGCAUUUAAAACACACGUCCAUGGAAAUUUUACUGAAAAACAUUGAUUAAAGGCACUAAAUAUGUCAUUUUUCAGCCUGAUUCCACCACGUCGCGACACAUCAAGUAAUUGUAGUCGUAUGUGUCAGGUCUUACAAUCAGAUUCAUAGAGAGAGGAGAAA
rnacentral:misc_RNA from 1 species